rnacentral:rRNA from 1 species
GAAAGCCGGGCUAAUACCGCAUAACGUUCGUGCAUUCCUGUGCGUGGACCAAAGGUGGCGAGCUUCGAGCGCUGCCACUCGAGAGCGGGCCCGCGUCCCAUUAGCUUGUUGGUGGGGUAACGGCCUACCAAGGCAACGAUGGGUAGCCGGGCUGAGAGGCUGUCCGGCCACACUGGAACUGAGACACGGUCCAGACUCCUACGGGAGGCAGCAGUGGGGAAUUUUGCGCAAUGGGGGAAACCCUGACGCAGCGACGCCGCGUGGGCGAUGAAGGCCUUCGGGUCGUAAAGCCCUGUCGAGAGGGACGAACCGUGCGAGCUCUAACAUAGCUCGUGCCUGACGGUACCUCUGGAGGAAGCCCCGGCUAACUCCGUGCCAGCAGCCGCGGUAAUACGGAGGGGGCUAGCGUUAUUCGGAAUCAUUGGGCGUAAAGGGCGUGUAGGCGGCCUCGUGUGUCCCAUGUGAAAGCCCUCGGCUCAACCGAGGAAUUGCAUGGGAAACUGCGGAGCUUGAGUCCGGGAGAGGAGAGCGGAAUUCCCAGUGUAGCGGUGAAAUGCGUAGAUAUUGGGAGGAACACCGGUGGCGA